rnacentral:rRNA from 1 species
CCCAGACUCCUACGGGAGGCAGCAGUGAGGAAUAUUGGUCAAUGGGCGCGAGCCUGAACCAGCCAAGUCGCGUGAGGGAUGACGGUCCUACGGAUUGUAAACCUCUUUUGCCGGGGAGCAAGGGCGGGGACGUGUCCCGGCCCGGAGAGUACCCGGAGAAAAAGCAUCGGCUAACUCCGUGCCAGCAGCCGCGGUAAUACGGAGGAUGCGAGCGUUAUCCGGAUUUAUUGGGUUUAAAGGGUGCGUAGGCGGAAGGUUAAGUCAGCGGUCAAAUGUCGGUGCUCAACACCGGCCUGCCGUUGAAACUGGUCUUCUUGAGUGAGCGAGAAGUAUGCGGAAUGCGUGGUGUAGCGGUGAAAUGCAUAGAUAUCACGCAGAACUCCGAUUGCGAAGGCAGCAUACCGGCGCUCAACUGACGCUGAGGCACGAAAGCGUGGGGAUCGAACAGGAUUAGAUACCCUUGUAU